CCAACCAGAACCUUCUCCCAAUUGGUUGUGCUAGGGUUCCCUCUCAUCCCUGUUCUCCGACGACGACGAUGUUUCCCUUCCUUGCGUGGAGGUAGCGGUCGCCACCAGUGUUCGUCUCUGCUUCCGUUCGCUGCGUUCAAGUGUCCUUUGUUUCUCAUUCAGUUCAGGGAUGGAGGCAAGUUCGGGGGCGUCUCCUACUAGCUUUGGAGUGGUGGUCGAAUCCAGCAACGUGGCGAAGGGGAACGAGAACGAGAAGAACCUCACGAGUUGAUUGUUGAAAUUCUGCUUCGGCUACCGGUGAGAUCUUUACUGCGCUUCAAAUGCGUUUGUAGGUCAUGGUUCUCUCUCAUUUCUGAUCCCCAAUUUGCUGAGGGAAAACUGCUUGAUCAUCAAAAAUAUCGGGAGGAGUACGAAAAUGAUCAAAAAUAUUGUGCAAUGUAUAGAGAGAGUCUGCUAUCAUUCCCUGGUCAAACAUCACUCCGUCGUGAGGAAGCAACGGAAGAUGUGGAAGCAACUGUAGAUGAGGAAGAGGAAGCAACGAAUGACGAAGAAGUGGAAUCCAAAGAGGAAUCAAAUGAAGAUGAGGAAGCAACUGAACAUGAGGAAGAGGAAUCAACUGACGAUGAGGAAGCAACUGAAUAUGAGGAAGAGGAAUCAAUUGAAUAUGAGGAAGAUGAAUCAACUGACGAUGACUAUAUCUAACUGUCCAAAGCAGAAGAAUUGGUUAACACUUAGGUGCCUUUACAAUUCCUGACUUUUAUCAUUUAAUGUGUUGUUCGAUGUUUUGACUUGAAGUUGUGGAGAUACAGUGGAAAGAUGGGAUAAAUUGAAAGGGUUGAAACUAAUCAAGUUGUGAUAUGAAUUGAUCUUGUGUAUAAUGGAUAUAAUCACUUUGUCACAUUUGUCUGCAUUUGAUAAGUUUUUUUUUGUCAUAGUUCCCUGAUAUCCCUAAUGGACAGUGCAAUGGAUGAAAUUUUUCUUAGUUUCAACACAA